CAACAAAAAUAAUACAUAUUAAAAAAACAACUUAACGUUAUAAAAGGAUGCAAGUGUACACACUUGAUAGGGUUUCAAGUUUGUCCUUACUUCACGGAGAGUAAAAAAGACGCAAACUUGACGAAUCGGCAGAGAAAAAAAGGUGCGAAAUUGACGAAUAGGAAAAAGGAAGAGAUUGGAGCUUCUUCAUUGGAUUUUCAUUAUUCUGAAUUCUUUCUAGCUCGGCCACCGUUGAUUCUGAUUGUUCGUACGAAACCGGAAAAAUAAUAAAGAAAGAAAAGAAAGGUGUGUCCUCUCCAUUUUCAAUCUUCUGCACCUUGAAUCGAAUUCUUUAUAAUUGAUUCGUUUGCAACGGUAACGGUAACAUCCCGUUCUUGAAAUUCAAACCCUAGAAAUUUAAUUUGAAUUGGUACCGGAAAAAUAUAACCACAGAGUCACAAACAUUGUUAUUCGGAUUUCAGUUUUUGGAUUCUAGGAUUUGAAUAAUCAACAAUCAUGGUUUGCUUCGAUUUGAAAGAGAGAGAUGUAGAUAUGAACAAAAAAAAAAUAUAAAAAGCUUCUUGAUUCUACCUUCGAUAAAUCUGCUGUCCUUUCAAGUUUAGUUGUGUAGCUCGUCUGAAUUUCGUUUCUUUAAUCGUUGCUUCAUCUCUCUCCCCCCAUUUACAAUCCAUUCUUCUUUGGAUUUCUGAUUUAUCGAUUUUUUCUUUUUCUGUUCAGCAAACAUGCUGACUCCAAAACCAUGUAUGGCAUGAAUGUUUUGGGCUAGGUUUUGGUUUGCAUAAUGAUUAUAGAAUGUAUGAUCUUGAUCAUUCCUUAUUUUUCAUGCCUAAAAAGGCUAAUAAAAAUUGAGAAGUUGCUAUAUGUAACUUAUGACAAAUCGGUUGCUAUGUUUGGAUGACCCAAAUUUUAAUUAUGAGAUGGAUUCUUGACCCUAAAUGUUGUUUGGAAUAUGAAUUUUUUAUUCAUAUGAAAUUGAGAUAAUAUGAAUGAUGACCCUAUAUUUAAUUUUGAGAUGGAUUCUUCUUGACCCAAAGUGUGGCUUGCAUUAUGAAUUUUUAUUCAUAUGAAAUUGUGAUGGUAUGUUUGGAUGACCGAAAAUAUAAUCACGAGGUAGAUGGAUUCUUGACUCAAAAUGUGUAUUGCAAUAUGAGUAUUUUGUUCAUAUGAUGUUGAGAUAAUAUGAUUGGAUGACCCUACAUUUAAUUACGAGAGGAUUCUUGACCCUAAAUGUUGUUUGGAAUAUGAAUUUUUUAUUCAUAUAAAAUUGAGAUAAUAUGAAUGAUGACCCUAUAUUUAAUUUUGAGAUGGAUUCUUCUUGACCCAAAGCGUGGCUUGCAUUAUGAAUUUUUAUUCAUAUGAAAUUGUGAUGGUAUGUUUGGAUGACCGAAAAUAUAAUCACGAGAUGGAUGGAUUCUUGACUCAAAAUGUAUAUUGCAAUAUGAAUAUUUUGUUCAUAUGAAGUUGAGAUAAUAUGAUUGGAUGACCCUACAUUUAAUUACGAGAUGGAUUCUUGACCCUAAACGUUGUUUGGAAUAUGAAUUUUUUUUUCAUAUGAAAUUGAGAUAAUAUGAAUGGUGACCCUAUAUUUAAUUUUGAGAUGGAUUCUUGACCCAAAGUGUGGCUUGCAAUAUGAAUUUUUAUUCAUAUGAAAUUGUGAUGGUAUGUUUGGAUGACCGAAAAUAUAAUCACGAGAUGGAUGGAUUCUUGACUCAAAAUGUGUAUUGCAAUAUGAGUAUUUUGUUCAUAUGAUGUUGAGAUAAUAUGAUUGGAUGACCCGACAUUUAAUUAUGAGAUGGAUUCUUGACCCUAAAUGUUGGUUGGAAUAUGAAUUUUUUAUUCAUAUGAAAUUGAGAUAAUAUGAAUGAUGACCCUAUAUUUAAUUUUGAGAUGGAUUCUUCUUGACCCAAAGUGUGGCUUGCAAUAUGAAUUUUUAUUCAUAUGAAAUUGUGAUGGUAUGUUUGGAUGACCGAAAAUAUAAUCACGAGAUGGAUGGAUUCUUGACUCAAAAUGUGUAUUGCAAUAUGAGUAUUUUGUUCAUAUGAUGUUGAGAUAAUAUGAUUAGAUGACCCUACAUUUAAUUAUGAGAUGGAUUCUUGACCCUAAAUGUUGUUUGGAAUAUGAAUUUUUUAUUCAUAUAAAAUUGAGAUAAUAUGAAUGAUGACCCUAUAUUUAAUUUUGAGAUGGAUUCUUCUUGACCCAAAGUGUGGCUUGCAUUAUGAAUUUUUAUUCAUAUGAAAUUGUGAUGGUAUGUUUGGAUGACCGAAAAUAUAAUCACGAGAUGGAUGGAUUCUUGACUCAAAAUGUGUAUUGCAAUAUGAGUAUUUUGUUCAUAUGAUGUUGAGAUAAUAUGAUUAGAUGACCCUACAUUUAAUUAUGAGAUGGAUUCUUGACCCUAAAUGUUGUUUGGAAUAUGAAUUUUUUAUUCAUAUAAAAUUGAGAUAAUAUGAAUGAUGACCCUAUAUUUAAUUUUGGGAUGGAUUCUUGACCCAAAGUGUGGCUUGCAAUAUGAAUUUUUAUUCAUAUGAAAUUGUGAUGGUAUGUUUGGAUGACCGAAAAUAUAAUCACGAGAUGGAUGGAUUCUUGACUCAAAAUGUAUAUUGCAAUAUGAGCAUUUUGUUCAUAUGAUGUUGAGAUAAUAUGAUUGGAUGACCCUACAUUUAAUUACGAGAUGGAUUCUUGACCCUAAAUGUUGUUUGGAAUAUGAAUUUUUUUUUUCAUAUGAAAUUGAGAUAAUAUGAAUGGUGACCAUAUAUUUAAUUUUGAGAUGGAUUCUUGACCCAAAGUGUGGCUUGCAAUAUGAAUUUUUAUUCAUAUGAAAUUGUGAUGGUAUGUUUGGAUGACCGAAAAUAUAAUCACGAGAUGGAUGGAUUCUUGACUCAAAAUGUAUAUUGCAAUAUGAGUAUUUUGUUCAUAUGAUGUUGAGAUAAUAUGAUUGGAUGACCCUACAUUUAAUUACGAGAUGAAAUCUUGACCCUAAAUGUUGUUUGGAAUAUGAAUUUUUUAUUCAUAUAAAAUUGAGAUAAUAUGAAUGAUGACCCUAUAUUUAAUUUUGAGAUGGAUUCUUGACCUAAAGUGUGGCUUGCAAUAUGAAUUUUUAUUCAUAUGAAAUUGUGAUGGUAUGUUUGGAUGACCGAAAAUAUAAUCACGUGAUGGAUGGAUUCUUGACUCAAAAUGUAUAUUGCAAUAUGAAUAUUUUGUUCAUAUGAAGUUGAGAUAAUAUGAUUGGAUGACCCUACAUUUAAUUACGAGAUGGAUUCUUGACCCUAAAUGUUGUUAGGAAUAUGAAUUUUUUUUUCAUAUGAAAUUGAGAUAAUAUAAUUGGAUGACCUUAAAUUUAAACACAAGAGGGAUUCUUGACCCAACAUGUGGCUGGCAUUAUGAAUUUUUUAUUCAUGAUAGUAUGUUUGGAUGAUCCAAAUUUGAAUCAUGAGAUGGAUUCCUGACCCAAAAUGUGGCUUACGAUAUGAAUUAUUUGUUCAUAUGAAAUUGAAAUAAUAUGACUGGAUGACCCCAAAUUUAUUCAUGGGAUGGAUUCUUGACCCUAAAUGUGGCUUGUAAUAUGAAUUUUUAUUCAUAUGAAAUUGCAAUGGUAUGUUUUGGGUGACCCAUAAUUUAAUUACGAGAUGGAUGGAUUUUUGACGCAAAAUGUGUUGUGCAAUAUGAAUUUUUUGUUCAUAUGAAGUUGGGAUAAUAUGAUUGGAUGACCCCAAAAUUAAAUUUUGACAUGAAUUCUUGACCCAAAAUGAUGUUUGCAAUAUGAAUUUUUUGUUCAUAUGUAAUUGGGAUAGUAUGUUUGGUUGAUUUGAAAUUUAAUUAUGAGAUGGAUUCCUGACCCUAAACGUGACUUGUAAUAUGAAUUUUUUAUUCAUAUGAAAUUGAGAUAAAUGACCGGAAGAUCCUAAAUUUAAUCAAGAGAUGAAUUCAUGGUCCAAAAUGUGGCUUGCAAUAUGAAUUUGCUAUUCAAAUGAAAUUGGGAUAAUAUGUUUGGAUGAAUCUAAAUUUUAUCACGAGAGAGUUUCCUUGACCCAAAAUAUGGCUUGCAAUGUGAAUUUCUUAUUCAUAGGUAAUUGGAAUAGAACGUUUGGACGAUCCCAAAUUUAAUUACGAGAUGGAUUAUUGGCCCUAAGUGUGGCUUGCAAUAUGAUUUUUUUUUGUUCAUAUAGAAUUGGGAUAAUAUGAUUGUAUGACAAUUUAAUCUCAAGAUGGAUUUUAGACCCAAAAUGUGGCUUACAAUAUGAAUUCUUUAUUUAUAUAAAAUUGGGAUAAUAUGUUUAGAUUACUUAUAAUUUAUUUGCCGGAUGGAUUAAUGAACCUAAAUGUGACUUGCAAUAUGAAUUUUUUAUUCAUAUGAAAUUUGUAUAACAUGAUUCUAAAUAUAAAUACAAGAUUGAUUUUACAUGUCAAGAUGACCCUUAAUAGCAAGUUUGUUUCGGAUGACAAUAUUGUGUCUCAAGGCGUCAAAUUUGACAUUUGAGUUUUUAUGAUCUAAAUUCAAUAAAUGAGAUGUCAAUAUUGUACAUCAAUGACCUUUGAUGUGAAAUUUAAUAUUUGAGCAACACUAAUCUUGAAUUCGAUUAAUUGAAAUGAUGGUUUUGUGUCUAGAUGACCUUGGAUAUGAAAUUUAGAUGAUGACAUGUCCCCUCGAUGAAAUCGGAUGCAAAAUAUUAUAUUUGAGCUUAGAUAAUCUUAAAUUCAAUAAAUUUGGAUGAUGAUAUUGGAUGCAAAUUUUGAUAUUUGAUAAAUCGGGUUCAUAGCUUUGUGCCUCGUCGACCAUGGAUGUCAAAUAUGAUGUUUGAGCCUAGAUGACCCUAUUUUCGAUAAAUUAAGAUGAUGGUAUGGUGCCUCGAUGAUCUUGGAUGUGGAAUUUGAUAUUUGAUAAUUGAGCCUUGAUGAUCCUUGGUGAUAUAUGAUAAUUGAGCCUUGAUGAUCCUAAAGUAUAUAAAUUGAGAUGAUACUAUUGUGCCUUGACAACCUUGGAUUCAAAAUUAGAUAACUGAGACAAGAUGAUUCCUAAUUCGAUAAAUUGGGGUGAUGAUAUUGUGUCGUAAUAUCUUUGGAUGUGAAAUUUGAUAUUUGAGCUUAGAUGAUCCUUAAUUCGAAUGGGAUGAUGGUGUUAUGUCAUAAAAACCUUGGAUGCAAUAUCUGAUUUUUGUCCCUAGAUAAUCCUAAAUUCGAUAAGUUCAUAUGACAAUAUUGUCUCCCAAUGACCUUGGAUGCAAAAUGAUACUUGGGCCUAGACAAACUAAAAAUUCAAUAAAUUGAGACAAUGAUAUUGUGUCUUGAUGACUUUAGAUGCGAGUUUUCAUAUUUGAGUGUAGUUGAUUCUAAAUUGAGAUGAUAGAACUGUGUCUCGAUGUCCUUGCAAAAUAUAAUAUAUGUGUCUAGAUUAUCUUGAAUUUGAUAAAUUUGGAUGAUAUUAUCGUCCCUUGAUGAUCUUGGAUGUGAAAUUUGAUAUUUGAAUCUAAAUGAUCCUAAAUUCGAUAAAAUAGGAUGAGGGUAUUGUGCCUUGGACAACGUUGGAUGCAAAAUUUUAUAUUUGAGCCUCGAUGAUCCUAAAUUUGAUAAAUUAAGAUGUCAUUGUGCCUCAAAUGACUUUGGAUGCAAAGUAGGCUCAAAUUUGAUAAAUUGAGAUGGUUGUAUUGUGCCUCAAUGAUAUUAGAUUAGAUGUGAAAUUUGAUAUUUGAGUCUUAAUGAUUAAUAAUUCAAUAACUUGGGAAGAUGGUAUUGUGUCUUGAUGACCUUAGAUGCAAAAUUUAAUAUUUCGAAAUUUAUUGAUAAAUUGGGAUGAUAGUGUUGUGUUUCAACGACCUGGGAUUCGAAGUUUGUAUUUGAGUCUGAUGAUCCUUAAAACUAUGUUAAAAAUACUGUUAAUGCAAUGAAUUACACAUUAUCUUGGAUGCUUAAUUACUGCAAAAUAAAAUGUUGGAGGGUGAACAGUAAACAACCCUUUCAUCUUGGAGAUUUUUGUCUUGGAGAUACUAGUUCGACUCGAAGAAAUGUGACAUCAUGAUUUCAUUGGCUCUUAUAAAGAUGUUGGUGUGCAAUAGAACAUCAAAUCAACAAUACAGGUGUAAGUGGAUUUGUGCGUUGUCCACAUUUCAAAGCGCAAAGGUCUUCUGUAAGUGUUAGAGAUGUGAUAUAAAACAAUUCAUGUUCAUUAUUUAGCAACUUUAGCUUUUGAGAGAAAACUUGUCCAUCAGAAAGUUUGAUCACAAAUUUGGUUCUAGACUGCAUGGAAUUUAUCUUGUGCACUUCUUUACAAGUACUUACUAAUCCUAUAUAUUCUACUAGUGUUAACUAUUUUGAUUUGGUGUGUGCCCUAGCCUCUAAUGCUAUAUUUGUUUCUUCUAUCCUUUUUCCCUGAUCAUUUAUCUCUGAAAGGAACAAUAUUGUUUUUUUUUUCCAAAAGGGGAGCCCGUUUUAGAGGUAAGUGGCUAUUUGAAUGGCACGGUCCCAAGUUUGGAGAGGGGGAGAAGACUGAGAUAGUAAAGAGAGACUAACUUCAAUAAUAUGGCUAUGUUUGUCCUCAAAAACACCAUUCUAAUAAAGAGUAUGAUGAAGGAAUAAAUCAAUGCAUUAUCCCAUUGUGCUAAAGUAUUUCAGCUAAAUGGAUCAACAAAGGAAAGAAUAUCUUCUGAAAGAUUUUAAAGGGGUUGGUCCCCACAAGUCAAUCAACAACAAUAGGUUUGAGAGGAUAAACAAUAAGCUUGCCUUUGCAGCUAACAACACAAUUGUCUAAGAUAUUUUUAUUUGCAAUUUGAGCAUUACAAAUUUUGGAUACACUUGAAUCAUAGAGGACAGAAGAAGACUGAAUUUAUUAUUUCAUAAAGUGUGUGAUUUUGACUUGUAUACAUUUACAAUAGAAUUUAGAGUUAUUACAAAAAAAAUUAUAGGAAAUUUAGAAUUUCAAGAAUUGAAAUGUGCUACAUGACUACUAAGAGGAACAACUCUGAGCAGACAACAAAUAUGGAAUUAAAUAAAGUCCAUCUUGACCCAUCACCCUUCUAACAAAAUUCAGUGGGUGUCCUGAGAUUUAACAAAGCAUUUAAUAUGACGGAAUAAAAGAAGUGUUUGGCCUUUUAGUGAUUGAAGGAAGUAGAGCCAGAUUUUUGAGUGACAAACUAACAUUGGUGUGAAAGGAAUUGGAACCAACAGAAGUAAUAGGAAAACCACAAAUAUCUGAUCAUGGAUGUUAAAUUCAAGGCAUCUGUGUGAUUAAGCAGUGCUAAUAUGACUGCAUUGAAGAAUCUGCAAGUUUCGCCACCGGAGGAGACUGAGGAAAUUGAUUGCAUUUGAACAAACAAUGCACUAUUGUCUGCCAAUGAUAAAAUCCAUAGAACAAUUUUUAUUAUUUUUCUAUUUUCUAAUUGAAGUCUUGUAUGUGUCUAUGCUCUUGAUUAGUUGAAGUCAACUGAGUGAGUACUGCAUUUUUGUUGCAAUUUUCAGUGGUUGAAUCAUUUCAUUCAUUUUCAAUAUUGAAUUUGAAAAAUGAUUUGAAGUUUCAUUUCUUGAAAAUCAGGUGUUUCCACCUUCCAUUUUCAUUUUCCAUAUCUAUAAAAUAUUGUGGAAGAGAUUAUGGUUGUGCUACAAAACACUCAAGGGAUAUUUCAACAUUUUUUAUGUUAAAGGAAACCUGAUUUGUGACUCUUAGUUGAGAGCUCUACCACUCCCUAACUUACAUUUGGGGGCAAGUAAACUUCUAUUUUGCUCCGAGUCAGGUUAAAUCUUAUUCUUCAAUUGAAUGCAAAUAUUUGGUUUUGCAUG